GACAGAGGGUGCAAACGUUGUUCGGAUUCACUGGGCGUAAAGGGUGCGUAGGUGGCCGGUUAAGUCUGACGUGAAAUCUCCGAGCCUAACUCGGAAACUGCAUCGGAAACUAUCCGGCUCGAGGGUUGGAGGGGGGACUGGAAUACUUGGUGUAGCAGUGAAAUGCGUAGAUAUCAAGUGGAACACCAGUGGCGAAGGCGAGUCCCUGGACAACUCCUGACACUGAGGCACGAAAGCUAGGGGAGCAAACAGG
rnacentral:rRNA from 1 species